rnacentral:rRNA from 1 species
GAUGAACGCUGGCGGCGUGCCUAAUACAUGCAAGUCGAGCGAACAGACGAGGAGCUUGCUCCUCUGACGUUAGCGGCGGACGGGUGAGUAACACGUGGAUAACCUACCUAUAAGACUGGGAUAACUUCGGGAAACCGGAGCUAAUACCGGAUAAUAUAUUGAACCGCAUGGUUCAAUAGUGAAAGACGGUUUUGCUGUCACUUAUAGAUGGAUCCGCGCCGCAUUAGCUAGUUGGUAAGGUAACGGCUUACCAAGGCAACGAUGCGUAGCCGACCUGAGAGGGUGAUCGGCCACACUGGAACUGAGACACGGUCCAGACUCCUACGGGAGGCAGCAGUGGGGAAUCUUCCGCAAUGGGCGAAAGCCUGACGGAGCAACGCCGCGUGAGUGAUGAAGGUCUUCGGAUCGUAAAACUCUGUUAUUAGGGAAGAACAACUGUGUAAUUAACUAUGCACGUCUUGACGGUACCUAAUCAGAAAGCCACGGCUAACUACGUG